rnacentral:rRNA from 1 species
GAUGAACGCUGGCGGCGUGCCUAAUACAUGCAAGUCGAGCGAACAAACGAGGAGCUUGCUCCUCUGACGUUAGCGGCGGACGGGUGAGUAACACGUGGAUAACCUACCUAUAAGACUGGGAUAACUUCGGGAAACCGGAGCUAAUACCGGAUAAUAUAUUGAACCGCAUGGUUCAAUAGUGAAAGACGGUUUUGCUGUCACUUAUAGAUGGAUCCGCGCCGCAUUAGCUAGUUGGUAAGGUAACGGCUUACCAAGGCAACGAUGCGUAGCCGACCUGAGAGGGUGAUCGGCCACACUGGAACUGAGACCCGGUCCAGACUCCUACGAGAGGCAGCAGUAGGGAAUCUUCCGCAAUGGGCGAAAGCCUGACGGAGCAACGCCGCGUGAGUGAUGAAGGUCUUCGGAUCGUAAAACUCUGUUAUUAGGGAAGAACAAAUGUGUAAGUAACUAUGCACGUCUUGACGGUACCUAAUCAGAAAGCCACGGCUAACUACGUG